rnacentral:sRNA from 1 species
CUUUCAUUUAGAGCUCAAAAGAGCCAAUUUUGAGGAAUAUUGUUUACAUAAGUGACAUGAAGCGGUUUGGUAUGAACUUUUCGUGCCAAAUUGUUAUUAUGA